rnacentral:rRNA from 1 species
GACGCAAGUCCGAGUUGUAAUUUGAAGAAGGUAAUUUUUGGGGAGAUGUGAACAAAAGUUCCUUGGAACAGGACGUCAUAGAGGGUGAGAAUCCCGUUUUGUUUACCUCUCUCUCCUUGUAAAAUGCUUUCGAAGAGUCGAGUUGUUUGGGAAUGCAGCUCUAAGUGGGUGGUAAAUUCCAUCUAAAGCUAAAUAUUGGCGAGAGACCGAUAGCGAACAAGUACAGUGAUGGAAAGAUGAAAAGAACUUUGAAAAGAGAGUGAAAAAGUACGUGAAAUUGUUGAAAGGGAAGGGUUUUAAGGGAGACUUGGGAGGUAACGAACAAUUUUCUUUCGGGAAGGUGCACUCGUUGCUUUCUAGGCCAAUAUGGAUUUGAAGAGUGGGAUAAAAGGAUAGGAAUGUAGCCACUCGUGGUGUUAUAGACUAUCCCAAUACUGCUACUUC